rnacentral:rRNA from 1 species
AUUGAACGCUGGCGGCAGGCCUAACACAUGCAAGUCGAGCGGAUGAAGGGAGCUUGCUCCUGGAUUCAGCGGCGGACGGGUGAGUAAUGCCUAGGAAUCUGCCUGGUAGUGGGGGAUAACGUCCGGAAACGGGCGCUAAUACAGCAUACGUCCUGAGGGAGAAAGUGGGGGAUCUUCGGACCUCACGCUAUCAGAUGAGCCUAGGUCGGAUUAGCUAGUUGGUGGGGUAAAGGCCUACCAAGGCGACGAUCCGUAACUGGUCUGAGAGGAUGAUCAGUCACACUGGAACUGAGACACGGUUCAGACUCCUACGGGAGGCAGCAGUGGGGAAUAUUGGACAAUGGGCGAAAGCCUGAUCCAGCCAUGCCGCGUGUGUGAAGAAGGUCUUCGGAUUGUAAAGCACUUUAAGUUGGGAGGAAGGGCAGUAAGUUAAUACCUUGCUGUUUUGACGUUACCAACAGAAUAAGCACCGGCUAACUUCGUG